rnacentral:rRNA from 1 species
CCAAUAGCGUAUAUUAAAGUUGCUGCAGUUAAAAAGCUCGUAGUUGAAUUUCGGGACUAAUAUGUCGGUCGUGCCUCGGUACGUACUGGCUUAUUGGUUUCUCCUUUCUGAAGAACCAUGAUGUCAUUUAUUUGGUGUCGUGGGGAAUCAGGACUGUUACUUUGAAAAAAUUAGAGUGUUUAAAGCAGGCUCACGCUUGAAUACAUUAGCAUGGAAUAAUGAAAUAGGACGUUUGAUUCUAUUUUGUUGGUUUCUAGGAUCGACGUAAUGAUUAAUAGGGAUAGUUGGGGGCAUUAGUAUUCAAUUGUCAGAGGUGAAAUUCUUGGAUUUAUUGAAGACUAACUACUGCGAAAGCAUUUGCCAAGGAUGUUUUCAUUAAUCAAGAACGAAAGUUAGGGGAUCGAAGACGAUCAGAUACCGUCGUAGUCUUAACCAUAAACUAUGCCGACUAGGGAUCGGAUGAUAUUAAUUUUUUAAUGACUCAUUCGGCGCCUUACG